rnacentral:lncRNA from 1 species
CUCCCGCCUCAGCCUCCUAAGUAGCUGGAAUUACAGGUGCACACCACCACGCCGGCUAAUUGUAUUUUUAAUAGAGAUGAGGUUUCACCAUGUUGGCCAGGCUGGUUUCGAACUCCUGACCUCAAGUGAUCCGCCUGCCUUGGCCUCCCAAAGUGCUGGGAUUACAGGCAUGAGCCACUGUGCCCAGUCAACCCUUCAGAUUUUUAAGAUCUCAAAGUAGUGAGUUUAACAGACUUGGCAUGUUGAGUGCCAAGCUGGGAAAAGUACCCUGCAAAGGGGACCCCGCUUAGCAGGACCCUCUGUUUCAGGUGGGAUCAGUCAGGAAGCCUUCCUGGAGGCCUUUGCUUAGCUGUAAAGAGGAAUGGGGGAAAUGAGUUUGCCCAAGGGGGACACAGAUGGUAGGAGACCAAAAGAAGUAUCUGCUGUGCUCACAACUUGCUAUUUUUCACAUUUUUCUAAUGCAAGUGGUUGGCCAUGCCAAAUGUCCUCUUCAAUGUCUGGAGUCUAUACAGGACAUUAACUAUCACCCUCGGCAGCAUCAUGGCUAUUGAAAACCAAGCCCGGCUGGGCGCUGUGGCUCACGCCUGUAAUCCCAACACUUUGGGAGGCCGAGGCGGGCGAAUCACAAGGUCAGGAGUUCAAGACCAGCCUGGCCAACAUGGUGAAACCCCGUCUCUACUAAAAUACAAAAAUUAGCCGAACAUGGUGGUGGGCGCUUGUAAUCCCAGCUACUAGGGAGGCUGAGGCAGCAGGAUGGCUUGAAUCUGGGAGGCGGAGGUUGCAAUGAGCCGAAAUCAUGCCAUUGCACUCCAGCCUGGGCAAUAGAAUGAGACUCUGUCUCAGAAAAACAAAAACAAAAACAACCAAGCCCACCAGGCAUGGUGGCUCACACCUGUAAUCCCAGCACUCUGGGAGGCUGAGGCGGGCAGAU